ACCAAGGUGAUGAUACGUAGCCGAACUGAGAGGUUGAUCGGCCACAUUGGGACUGAGACACGGCCCAAACUCCUACGGGAGGCAGCAGUAGGGAAUCUUCCACAAUGGACUAAAGUCUGAUGGAGCAACGCCGCGUGAAUGAAGAAGGCCUUCGGGUCGUAAAAUUCUGUUGUCAGAGAAGAAUGUGCGUGAGAGUAACUGUUCACGUAUUGACGGUAUCUGACCAGAAAGCCACGGCUAACUACGUGCCAGCAGCCGCGGUAAUACGUAGGUGGCAAGCGUUGUCCGGAUUUAUUGGGCGUAAAGGGAACGCAGGCGGUCUUUUAAGUCUGAUGUGAAAGCCUUCGGCUUAACCGAAGUAGUGCAUUGGAAACUGGAAGACUUGAGUGCAGAAGAGGAGAGUGGAACUCCAUGUGUAGCGGUGAAAUGCGUAGAUAUAUGGAAGAACACCAGUGGCGAAAGCGGCUCUCUGGUCUGUAACUGACGCUGAGGUUCGAAAGCGUGGGUAGCAAACAGGAUUAGAUACCCUGGUAGUCCACGCCGUAAACGAUGAGUGCUAAGUGUUGGAGGGUUUCCGCCCUUCAGUGCUGCAGCUAACGCAUUAAGCACUCCGCCUGGGGAGUACGGUCGCAAGACUGAAACUCAAAGGAAUUGACGGGGGCCCGCACAAGCGGUGGAGCAUGUGGUUUAAUUCGAAGCAACGCGAAGAACCUUACCAGGUCUUGACAUCUUCUGACAAUUCCAGAGAUGGAACGUUCCCUUCGGGGACAGAAUGACAGGUGGUGCAUGGUUGUCGUCAGCUCGUGUCGUGAGAUGUUGGGUUAAGUCCCGCAACGAGCGCAACCCUUAUUGUCAGUUGCCAUCAUUAAGUUGGGCACUCUGGCGAGACUGCCGGUGACAAACCGGAGGAAGGUGGGGAUGACGUCAAAUCAUCAUGCCCCUUAUGACCUGGGCUACACACGUGCUACAAUGGACGGUACAACGAGUCGCUAACUCGCGAGGGCAAGCUAAUCUCUUAAAGCCGUUCUCAGUUCGGAUUGCAGGCUGCAACUCGCCUGCAUGAAGUCGGAAUCGCUAGUAAUCGCGAAUCAGCAUGUCGCGGUGAAUACGUUCCCGGGCCUUGUACACACCGCCCGUCACACCAUGAGAGUUUGUAACACCCAAAGUCGGUGGGGUAACCUUUUGGAGCCAGCCGCCUAAGGUGGGACAGAUGAUUGGGGUGAAGUCGGAACAAGGUA
rnacentral:rRNA from 1 species